UACGGGGGGGGCAAGCGUUGUUCGGAAUUACUGGGCGUAAAGGGCUCGUAGGCGGCCAACUAAGUCAGACGUGAAAUCCCCAGGCUCAACCUGGGAACUGCGUCUGAUACUGGAUGGCUUGAAUCCGGGAGAGGGAUGCAGAAUUCCAGGUGUAGCGGUGAAAUGCGUAGAUAUCUGGAGGAACACCCGUAGCGAAGGCGGCACUCUGGGCCGGAACUGACGCUGAGGAGCGAAAGCGUGGGGAGCAAACAGG
rnacentral:rRNA from 1 species